GACGAACGCUGGCGGCGUGCUUAACACAUGCAAGUCGAACGCUGAAGCUCAGCUUUUGUUGGGUGGAUGAGUGGCGAACGGGUGAGUAACACGUGAGUAACCUGCCUCCUUCUUUGGGAUAACGCCCGGAAACGGGUGCUAAUACUGGAUAUUCACUGGUCUUCGCAUGGGGGUUGGUGGAAAGGGUUUUUCUGGUGGGGGAUGGGCUCGCGGCCUAUCAGCUUGUUGGUGGGGUGAUGGCCCACCAAGGCUUUGACGGGUAGCCGGCCUGAGAGGGUGACCGGUCACAUUGGGACUGAGAUACGGCCCAGACUCCUACGGGAGGCAGCAGUGGGGAAUAUUGCACAAUGGGCGCAAGCCUGAUGCAGCGCCGCCGCGUGAGGGAUGGAGGCCUUCGGGUUGUGAACCUCUUUCGCUCAUGGUCAAGCCGCAACAAUGGUUGUGGUGAGGGUAGUGGGUAAAGAAGCGCCGGCUAACUACGUG
rnacentral:rRNA from 1 species